rnacentral:rRNA from 1 species
AUUGAACGCUAGCGGCAGGCCUAACACAUGCAAGUCGAACGAGUGGCGGACGGGUGAGUAAUAUAUCGGAACGUGCCCAGUAGAGGGGGAUAACUACUCGAAAGAGUGGCUAAUACCGCAUACUCUUGUAUCGGCCGAUAUCGGAGUAGCUAGUUGGUGGGGUAAAGGCUCACCAAGGCAACGAUCCGUAGCUGGUCUGAGAGGACGAACAGCCACACUGGGACUGAGACACGGCCCAGACUCCUACGUGAGGCAGCAGUGGUGAAUAUUGGACAAUGGGGGAAACCCUGAUCCAGCCAUGCCGCGUGUAUGAGAAGGCCUUCGGGUUGGAAAGUACUUUUGGCAGAGAGGCGGUAUCUGCAGAAGAAGCACCGGCUAACUACGUGCCAGCAGCCGCGGUAAUAC